rnacentral:rRNA from 1 species
UACGAAGGGGGCUAGCGUUGCUCGGAAUCACUGGGCGUAAAGGGUGCGUAGGCGGGUCUUUAAGUCAGGGGGGAAAUCCUGGAGCUCAACUCCAGAACUGCCUUUGAUACUGAAGAUCUUGAGUUCGGGAGAGGUGAGUGGAACUGCGAGUGUAGAGGUGAAAUUCGUAGAUAUUCGCAAGAACACCAGUGGCGAAGGCGGCUCACCGGCCCGAUACUGACGCUGAGGCACGAAAGCGUGGGGAGCAAACAGG